rnacentral:rRNA from 1 species
AGUGAACGCUGGCGGUAGGCCUAACACAUGCAAGUCGAACGGCAGCACAGAGGAGCUUGCUCCUUGGGUGGCGAGUGGCGGACGGGUGAGGAAUACAUCGGAAUCUACUCUGUCGUGGGGGAUAACGUAGGGAAACUUACGCUAAUACCUCAUACGACCUACGGGUGAAAGCAGGGGAUCUUCGGACCUUGCGCGAUUGAAUGAGCCGAUGUCGGAUUAGCUAGUUGGCGGGGUAAAGGCCCACCAAGGCGACGAUCCGUAGCUGGUCUGAGAGGGUGAUCAGCCACACUGGAACUGAGACACGGUCCAGACUACUACGGGAGGCAGCAGUGGGGAAUAUUGGACAAUGGGCGCAAGCCUGAUCCAGCCAUACCGCGUGGGUGAAGAAGGCCUUCGGGUUGUAAAGCCCUUUUGUUGGGAAAGAAAUCCAUCUGGUUAAUACCCGGAUGGGAUGACGGUACCCAAAGAAUAAGCACCGGCUAACUUCGUGCCAGCAGCCGCAGUAA